GCGGCGGACGGGUGAGUAACACGUGGGUAACCUGCCUGUAAGACUGGGAUAACUCCGGGAAACCGGGGCUAAUACCGGAUGCUUGAUUGAACCGCAUGGUUCAAUCAUAAAAGGUGGCUUUUAGCUACCACUUACAGAUGGACCCGCGGCGCAUUAGCUAGUUGGUGAGGUAACGGCUCACCAAGGCGACGAUGCGUAGCCGACCUGAGAGGGUGAUCGGCCACACUGGGACUGAGACACGGCCCAGACUCCUACGGGAGGCAGCAGUAGGGAAUCUUCCGCAAUGGACGAAAGUCUGACGGAGCAACGCCGCGUGAGUGAUGAAGGUUUUCGGAUCGUAAAACUCUGUUGUUAGGGAAGAACAAGUACCGUUCGAAUAGGGCGGUACCUUGACGGUACCUAACCAGAAAGCCACGGCUAACUACGUGCCAGCAGCCGCGGUAAUACGUAGGUGGCAAGCGUUGUCCGGAAUUAUUGGGCGUAAAGCGCGCGCAGGCGGUUUCUUAAGUCUGAUGUGAAAGCCCCCGGCUCAACCGGGGAGGGUCAUUGGAAACUGGGGAACUUGAGUGCAGAAGAGGAGAGUGGAAUUCCACGUGUAGCGGUGAAAUGCGUAGAGAUGUGGAGGAACACCAGUGGCGAAGGCGACUCUCUGGUCUGUAACUGACGCUGAGGCGCGAAAGCGUGGGGAGCGAACAGGAUUAGAUACCCUGGUAGUCCACGCCGUAAACGAUGAGUGCUAAGUGUUAGAGGGUUUCCGCCCUUUAGUGCUGCAGCAAACGCAUUAAGCACUCCGCCUGGGGAGUACGGUCGCAAGACUGAAACUCAAAGGAAUUGACGGGGGCCCGCACAAGCGGUGGAGCAUGUGGUUUAAUUCGAAGCAACGCGAAGAACCUUACCAGGUCUUGACAUCCUCUGACAACCCUAGAGAUAGGGCUUCCCCUUCGGGGGCAGAGUGACAGGUGGUGCAUGGUUGUCGUCAGCUCGUGUCGUGAGAUGUUGGGUUAAGUCCCGCAACGAGCGCAACCCUUGAUCUUAGUUGCCAGCAUUCAGUUGGGCACUCUAAGGUGACUGCCGGUGACAAACCGGAGGAAGGUGGGGAUGACGUCAAAUCAUCAUGCCCCUUAUGACCUGGGCUACACACGUGCUACAAUGGGCAGAACAAAGGGCAGCGAAGCCGCGAGGCUAAGCCAAUCCCACAAAUCU
rnacentral:rRNA from 1 species